rnacentral:rRNA from 1 species
ACUCCUACGGGAGGCAGCAGUGGGGAAUAUUGCACAAUGGGGGAAACCCCUGAUGCAGCCAUGCCGCGUGUGUGAAGAAGGCCUUCGGGUUGUAAAGCACUUUCAGUCGUGAGGAAGGUAGUGUAGUUAAUAGCUGCACUAUUUGACGUUACCUACAGAAGAAGCACCGGCUAACUCCGUGCCAGCAGCCGCGGUAAUACGGAGGGUGCGAGCGUUAAUCGGAAUUACUGGGCGUAAAGCGCAUGCAGGCGGCCCGUUAAGUCAGAUGUGAAAGCCCGGGGCUUAACCUCGGAAUUGCAUUUUGAAAACUGGCAGGCUAGAGUCUUGUAGAGGGGGGUGAGAAUUUAUCAGGGUGUAGCGGUGAAAAUGCGUAGAGAUCUGAAGGAAUACCAGU